AAAAACCUAUGCGGUGGAAUUAUACACCAAUAGCAUAAUUUGUUAAAUUAUUAAAAUUGUAGCAAAUGUCUAUUUUUAUAAGCGCAUUACUGCU
rnacentral:lncRNA from 1 species